rnacentral:rRNA from 1 species
CUGGGGGGACCACCCUCCAAUCCUAAAUACUACUUACAGAUCGAUAGUGAACAAGUACCGUGAGGGAAAGGUGAAAAGUACUCCAGCGAGGAGAGUGAAAUAGAACCUGAAACCAUUAGCUUACAAUCAUUCAGAGCCCUAUGAUUUAUCAGGGUGAUGGACUGCCUUUUGCAUAAUGAGCCUGCGAGUUGUGGUGUCUGGCAAGGUUAAGUCAAGUACGAAGCCGUAGCGAAAGCGAGUCUUAAUAGGGCGAAUUAGUCAGAUGCUGCAGACCCGAAACGAAGUGAUCUAUCCAUGAGCAGGUUGAAGCUGGUGUAAGAGCCAGUGGAGGACCGAACCCAUUGACGUUGAAAAGUCUCGGGAUGACUUGUGGAUAGGGGUGAAAGGCCAAUCAAACUUCGUGAUAGCUGGUUCUCUCCGAAAUAUAUUUAGGUAUAGCCUUGUGUUGUAGCAUAUAGGGGUAGAGCACUGAAUGGGCUAGGGCUGCUUACCGCGGUACCAAACCCUAUCAAACUAUGAAUACUAUAUGUGGAAUCACAGGAGUCAGGCGGUGGGUGAUAAAAUCCAUCGUCGAGAGGGGAACAACCCAGACUAACAGCUAAGGUCCCUAAGUCACAUCUAAGUGGAAAACGAUGUGGAGUUACUGUGACAACCAGGAGGUUGGCUUAGAAGCAGCCAUCCUUUAAAGAAAGCGUAACAGCUCACUGGUCUAGUGAUUCUGCGCGGAAAAUAUAACGGGGCUAAGAUGUGCACCGAAGCUUUAGAUUCAAUUUUUAAUUGAGUGGUAGGAGAGCGUUCUAUUCAGCGUUGAAGGUAUACCGGUAAGGAGUGCUGGAGCGGAUAGAAGUGAGCAUGCAGGCAUGAGUAGCGAUAAUUAAGGUGAGAAUCCUUAACGCCGAAAACCCAAGGUUUCCUACGCGAUGCUCGUCAUCGUAGGGUUAGUCGGGUCCUAAGUCGAGUCCGAAAGGGGUAGACGAUGGCAAAUUGAUUAAUAUUUCAAUACCAACAUACAAGCGCGAUGUGGGGACGCAUAGAGUUAAUCGAGCUCACUGAUGGAAUAGUGGGUCGAAGGACGUAGGUUGUUAAGUAGGCAAAUCCGCUUAACGUUAGACCGAGAUCUUACAGGCUCUUGACACUCUUCGGAGGAGAUGGAGAAUCGAUGAUACUGUCGUGCCAAGAAAAGCCACUAAGUAUAUUGUAUGUUGCCCGUACCGUAAACCGACACAGGUGGGUGGGAUGAGUAUUCUAAGGCGCGUGGAAGAACCCUGGUUAAGGAACUCUGCAAACUAGCACCGUAUCUUCGGUAUAAGGUGUGCCUACUUUGGUAUAUGGACUUGCUCCAAAAAGCUAGAGAGGUUGCAACAAAGAGUCCCUCCCGACUGUUUACCAAAAACACAGCACUUUGCUAACACGUAAGUGGAUGUAUAAGGUGUGACGCCUGCCCGGUGCUCGAAGGUUAACUGAUGAUGUCAGCGCAAGCGAAGCAUUUGAUUGAAGCCCGAGUAAACGGCGGCCGUAACUAUAACGGUCCUAAGGUAGCGAAAUUCCUUGUCGGUUAAAUACCGACCUGCAUGAAUGGCGUAACGAGAUGGGAGCUGUCUCAACCAGGGAUCCAGUGAAAUUGUAGUGGAGGUGAAAAUUCCUCCUACCCGCGGAAAGACGGAAAGACCCCGUGCACCUUUACUACAGCUUGACACUGUAGCUUGGAUAUUCAUGUGCAGGAUAGGUGGGAGGCUAUGAUAUAUGGACGCAAGUACAUAUGGAGCCAUCCUUGAGAUACCACCCUUGAAUAUUUGAGUUACUAACUGCGUACAAUUAUCUUGUAUCAGGACAAUGUCUGGUGGGUAGUUUGACUGGGGCGGUCGCCUCCUAAAAAGUAACGGAGGCUUACAAAGGUUAGUUCAAAGCGGUUGGAAAUCGCUUGUUGAGUAUAAUGGCAUAAACUAGCUUGACUGUGAGACCUACAAGUCGAACAGAGACGAAAGUCGGUCAUAGUGAUCCGGUGGUUCUGUGUGGAAGGGCCAUCGCUCAAAGGAUAAAAGGUACGCCGGGGAUAACAGGCUGAUCUCCCCCAAGAGCUCACAUCGACGGGGAGGUUUGGCACCUCGAUGUCGGCUCAUCGCAUCCUGGGGCUG